GAUGAACGCUGGCGGCGUGCCUAAUACAUGCAAGUCGAGCGAAGCGGGGACGGGUGAGUACCACGUGGAUAACCUCCUAUAAGACUGGGAGAACUUCGGGAAACCGGAGCUAAAACUGAUACUUAUAGAUGGAUCCGCGCUGCAUUAGCUAGUUGGUAAGGUAACGGCUUACCAAGGCAACGCUGCCUAGCCGACCUGAGAGAGUGAUCGGCACAACGAGAACUGAGACACGGUCCAGACUCUUACGGGAGGAAGCAGUAGGGAAUCGUCCGCAAUGGGCGAAAGCCUGACGGAGCAACGCCGCGUGAGUGAUGAAGGUCUUAGGAUCGUAAAACUCUGUUAUUAGGGAAGCGGUACCUAAUCAGAAAGCCACGGCUAACUACGUGCCAGCAGCCGCGGUAAUAC
rnacentral:rRNA from 1 species